CCCGCUGAACUUAAGCAUAUCAAUAAGCGGAGGAAAAGAAACUAACAAGGAUUCCCCUAGUAACUGCGAGUGAAGCGGGAAAAGCUCAAAUUUAAAAUCUGGCGGUCUCGCGGCCGUCCGAGUUGUAAUCUGGAGAAGCGUCUAUCCGCGUCGGACCGUGUACAAGUCUUCUGGAAGGGAGCGUCGUAGAGGGUGAGAAUCCCGUCUUUGACACGGACAACCGAUGCUUUUGUGAUGCGCUCUCGAAGAGUCGAGUUGUUUGGGAAUGCAGCUCAAAAUGGGAGGUAAAUUUCUUCUAAAGCUAAAUACCGGCCAGAGACCGAUAGCGCACAAGUAGAGUGAUCGAAAGAUGAAAAGCACUUUGAAAAGAGAGUUAAAAAGUACGUGAAAUUGUUGAAAGGGAAGCGUUUGUAGCCAGACUUGGCGGCAGUUGCUCAACCGGUCUUUGCCCGGUGCACUCUUCUGCCGACAGGCCAGCAUCAGUUCGGGCGGCCGGAUAAAGGCAUUGGGAACGUGGCUCCUCGGAGUGUUAUAGCCCUUUGCACAAUGCGGCCAGCCCGGACUGAGGACCGCGAUUCACGGAUGCUGGCUUAAUGGCUGCCAACGGCCCGUCUUGAAACACGG
rnacentral:rRNA from 1 species